UCAAAACUUCAACUAAUUUCCUAUAAAUUCCACUAGCUGGUAGUUACUGAAUGCUUUUUUUCUCACCUCCUCCCUAAUUUCAUUUUCCCUAAAAAAGAAAAUAAUUAAAAAUAAAAGUCUCUUAACCUUCUCUUGCAUUUGACCUCGUUUCGCUUGAUUCCAUUUUUAAUCCUCGCCACCUUUUCUCCUCUUUCUCGCGCCAUCGUUAGGGUUUUCCAAAAACCACGAGUUCUUGUCUCAUUAAUUAAAAUUAUCUCUAUACUCCAAUUUUUGUAAUAUUUUUAGAGAGCAAGAUGGCGGAUGGUAAGGUGGAGGCUUUUCAUGCAAAAGAAGCUAUCUCAAAGAAAAUCUGGACCGGGAUUAUACUGGUGCGAGGACACUUCUAGAGGAUCAGAGGAUUUCCUCCUUGCUGGAGCAUGCUUCGGAAAUGCUUAUUGUAUGUGAAAUUCUGUGCUCCAUGGAGAUGGAGCUCCCGAAUUGUCGGAUUGACUGGGACAGGGUCCUGCAUCUCUCCCCUUUGACCGAGGCUAUUGUCCAUGGAAGCAGAAUAUCAGAAACUUGUCUCCCGCUCACAGCCCAUCAAGAAUGACUUCCCAGGCACCAGAUUGGGCCUUAAUUUUGUUGAGGAUGCAUUCUCUGUGCUUUCAGAUCCCAUGAAACGGGCAGCCUUUGAUUCAAAGAUGAAUGGCGUAGGGAAUAACUUCUGUGAUCUGGAUUCAAGGUUCAGUGCAGUGGUGGUCUAAAGUCAGGAAAUGAAGCAGCCAUCAAAAGAGAUGUUGCAAGAUGUUGUUCGGAUAAACCUGAUUCUUCUAGGACUAAGAGGGCAGCUUAUGAUGCUUAUGUUGGAAUUGGCAGUGUGAGCCCGGUGGCAGAAGAUUAUGCUGAUGAGAAACAGAAGAAGAUCUGUGCUGAGGAGGUGAGUUGUGUUACUGCUAAGAUGAGGUCUGAGGAGGGAAAUGAUCUCCGCUCAAAGUUGGAAGAAGGAAGCCACUGUUCUUCUCUGCAUUUGGUGGCUAGAAAGAGGUAUCCGUUCUGACUUAUGACUUUGAGAACAACAGGUAGGCUGAGCUUUUCUCCACAGGCCAGGUCUGGGUGGCCUAUGAUCAAGAGAAUAUGCCUCGUAGGUAUGGUUGGAUGGAUAAGGUCCUUAUUGACAAGUCUCAGCUGCAUGCCACAUGGUUCAGACCUUGUCUGCAGACCUUGCAAGAGAAAAGGUGGUGCGAUGCUGGCUUCCCUGUUGCUUGUGGAUCAUUCGCUCUGGAAUCAAGCAAAUCACAGUUAGUCAGCCUAUGAUGUUCUCACAUCUUCUAUCGGAUGGCAUGGAAAUGCAAUCAAUUGAAGUUCAUCCCAAGAAGGGUGAGAUUUGGGCUAUAAAUAGAGAUUGGGACAUGGAAUGGUGCUUGAACCCGGGGAUUAGGCAAAAAGUGUGGCUUUGAAAUGGUAGAAAUUCUUACUGAUUUUUUUGAAGGAUACAGGUGUCAAGGUUGCUUGCUUGGUGAAGAUUGAUGGACAUUAAAGUGUUUUUCAAAGAUAGUCUAAGAGAGGAAAUGAGUUAUCCUUCUAGAUUCCUUUAAGCAAGCUGUUCAUAUGCUCUUAAAAUGUCUGCAUUUAGAUUUGUUGGUGGAGAAAUCGAUGGAAUUGCAAAUGGUAUGUUGGAGCUAGACCCUUUGGCUCUGCCAGAUGAUCUGGGCCAAGAUUUUCCAGGUGCUAUUGUUGAUUUUGCAGAUGCAUGCCAUAGAUCAUCUCAUGCAGUGAUGAAGCCAGUUUUACCCAACUUUCAAGUACCUCUAUGAAUGCUGUAGACUCUGGUGGCUCGAAUGUCAGGAUCCAAAACCAUAAAUCCAAAUGGGCAUCUAAAGAUUUUGUCAUAGAACAGAUAUGGGCCAUAUGUGAUGGUCCAGAUGCCAUGCUUCAAAUAUGUGUUAGAAUGAAUGAUGUAAUUUCACCAACUACAGUGUGUGUGACACACUUAGAACCUCACCCAGUACAAGAUGAAUUAAUACAAUGGGUGGAAGAAAGUCUGCUGAUGGCCUGUGGAAUAUUGCGUGCUGGCAGGGCAAUGGCUGACCUAGAGAUGUUUAGAUUCUCUCACCUUCUUAGGCUUGACAGGAGCACAAAGAGGUCUUUAUAUUGAAUUUACCCUUGGAAAGCCGAAAUUUGGGCUGUGUACAAAAAUUGGAACAGCAGUUGGAAGAAUUCUGAUCAUGUUAGGUGUCAAUGUCGAGCGGUUGAGAUCCUCUCGGACUUCUCAGAGGAGGCCGCCAUUAACAUAUGCUGCUUGGUUGAGGUGAAGGGGUGCUUGAACUUUUUCCAGGUGCUUGAACUUUUUCCAGAGGCAGCUAUAUGAGGGGUUCCAGUUAACUAGGCAGCUUUCAGGAUCCAAUUAUUGCUGCCCUCUGAGAGAAAAUAAAUAUGCACCACAGAUGCCUAAGGUCGGAAAUCUUUUCCUUGAUGCCAGCCAUUCAACAUAGUGCUGGGUACCAAUCCACUUCUGUCUUCCUAUUUUAGGUUUUGAGUCCUCUUCAGCUCUCCUCUAUCUGGGAGAAAACCCUGCUUUUCCUCGGUGUGAAGGAUACCACUGAAACUGGAAUUCAGAGAUCCAUUUUCAGGAUGUAAGUUUUCUUUCUGCCUACUUUCAUGGUACCUCACCAUGAGUUGAACCAAUAAAAUAAUUGAUAAUGCACCAGCAAGCUGUUAUAUCUAUUUUGAACAUAACUAGCUCUAGGCUCUGCAUUGAAUGUGUUAAUGUUAUUCCAAAAUAACUUUUCACAAAAUCAAUGCGAAAGUACUUGUAGAUUAAAAGUUUGGUUGAGAUGGGAAUUCUCUCUCUUAAUCUUAUUUUACGUGACAGGUCCAUAAUCAAACUUAUAGCAUUUGUUUCUCAUGAUUUUUAGGGCAAUCUAUAUGCAUUCUCUUACCAAAUAAAAUACUUUUGUCAAGUUCAAGUAAUUUUUCUAAUAUUCUAUAUAUGGCAUCAUUCUUAUUUGCUGGUUUCAUGUAGUCUGAGAACAACAAGAGGGUUAACUAGUUAAGUUUUGAAAUUUUAAACAACAGAAUAAAUAACAGACACAUCAUUUAAUCAUGGAUAAAAUGUGCAUGGUCAUGUUUAGGGACUGCUUCAAAGAAUAUAUUUCCAAGGUGUAACUUAUAUUUUUCCAAGGUAAAGGAUCUCCAAUGUUGCUUCAAGUGCAAUAAAUACUUCUUUCUAUCAUUUCAACCUUACUGACAAAGACUGUUGAGUACAAACUCAUGUAUAUAGUGGUUUACUCAAAUAUGGGAAACCUUUCAUCUUCAGAAAUAAUCAUCAAGAUGUCUCUGCACUUAUGCAAGCAUAUUUGCAGUAUUAGAAAUUGAACUCAGCAUAUGAUCUCUCUCUCUCUCUCUCUCUCUCUGUUUGUGCGCGUGCAUGUGCAUGGUGUUCUGUGUUUUAGACAUUCUAUGUAGAAACUGACAAAUUAGAUCCAUCUAUUAGAAACAUAUUUGCAAAUGGAAUUGAUAUUGAGCAUCCUCAAUUGGGUGCAUAUUUGUAACUGAUGCCACCUAAACCUCUAGAAUGUCUGCAAUGUUGUGAAUGACCUGGAUUUUUUUACUUAGAAGUCUUUUCUCUGUUCCUUUUCUUUUUGUCUUGUGAUUGCAUUGCCUCUCUGUCAAUUUUGUUUCACUAAUUUUUCAGUUUAUAUGAUUUAGAUUCUUGACAUUGAUAUAUCCAUCUUAUCAAGCAAAACGUGUAGUGUCUAACUGCAUAUAUGACAAGUUUUUCUGUGAAACAGAUCAUACCUUUCUUACUUCUUGCCAACAUUCUUAUAUUAUUUUUCCAAUGGAGGCUUGUUUCUGAAUUCUUUCCAAAUGCUUGCACACAAGCAGAAAUAUCCUUGUGCAAAAUUUUUGAUAUUCUAUAUAAACAGUUAAACUUCUUCUAAGCAGUCUAAGCAAUACUGGAAGGCAGCCAUGGGAUUGACAUUUUCUCCAACAUGGAUUGGGUGUGCGUACAGUUUAUUGAUCAUUGCUAAUUAUCCACUGUGGACAUGGAGCCUUAUAUUUUCUGUGAUAUGGAAAAAUCUGUGAGCUUCAGACUAUGGGAGAUGCUCGAAACCUACAGCUAGAAAAGGACAACAGUUUUGCAUCUACUCAUGACUCAAGUAAAGCAGCUCAGAGGUAGUUACUCCCUCCAAAAUUUAAUUUUUGGAAACCAUGCAAGAACAAAAUCAGGAAGUCCGAUACUCAUCAGUGAUUCUAUAGGUGAUUGUUCCCUGAAGUGUUCUUGGAUAGCUAGUCUCCCCACCUAAGACUGGAAGCUGAAUCAUUCCUCAGUCUUUCGCAGUUAGUAACUUGUUGUGGAGUCUAUUGUAGCAGAUGCAAUGAAGCAGAAGUAGUGCAGGUAAUGGUGCCUUAAAGUCUAAUUGGUGCUAAAUUGGAUUGAUUUUUUAGAGGUAUUCCAGGUACAUUGGUGGUGAUUUGUAAAGAUGAUUCACUUAACUCUUAAAUCUUUAAACCAAUUUUGGUUGCCACUAAAUGUGGCAAACUACUAAAGGGUCAUG